UACAGAGGGGGCAAGCGUUAUUCGGAAUUAUUGGGCGUAAAGAGCUCGUAGGCGGCCUGUUGCGUCCGCUGUGAAAUCCCGGGGCUCAACCCCGGGCCUGCAGUGGAUACGGGCUGGCUAGAGGCAGGCAGGGGAGAACGGAAUUCCUGGUGGUAGCGGUGAAAUGCGCAGAUAUCAGGAGGAACACCGGUGGCGAAGGCGGUUCUCUGGGCCUGUACUGACGCUGGAGGAGCGAAAGCGUGGGGAGCGAACAGG
rnacentral:rRNA from 1 species